rnacentral:lncRNA from 1 species
AACAGUGUCAUAUAAAUUAAAUAUUACAAAUUUAAACAUAUAAUCUUUCAAUGCCCACGUUCCCACGUUCUAGAAAAAUGUCAUUAAUGCAUGAUUGCCUAUGAAAGAUUUUGGGUAAAAUGCAGUGUAAGGGGAAAGUUUAUAGACUUAUCUAACUUAAAGUAGGGGGAAAACAUCCUUUAGAAUGAAUGUCCCCUGAAAUAAUUUGCCUUACUACUUAGGGGUCUUUUCCUUGGCCUUGUUGGUUUCCUCUCACCAUCUAAUAUUGUCAUAAUUCCAAGAACUGGCAUUUAAAGUGG